CUCACGCUCCAUUAAAUCUCCCUUUCGCUUAAAUCCAUCAGGCUCCCACUCAUACAUCACACACCACCGCACAGCAACUCCUUUUCCUUUCUUUCUCUUCAGUUCCCAAUUCGUAUUUAUUAUGCCCUAAUCAGAGCACCGUUCAUCAAUGGCGUUUGGGCUCGCGUUUCUUCUCAGAGUGCGGUUCUGUUGCAGCAAUGGAGUUUGAGCGCCCAACCGCCGCACCGCUCAACCCCGCCAUGACCUACGACGAGGCCUCCAUGGUGCGCAACAAGAGCUUCGUCAACGCCUUGCAGGGUGCCAAUUCAGCAGAAUGAAUUAUGAGCAUGGAGGUAAAUUUUAUUUUGAAUUCCCUUGUCACCUGUUCUUUGUGUUUUUUACAUCUUAAUUUUGCUGCUCACUUGGAAGUAGAUACCUUACAUGUGGGAGUUUUCUGCAGUAUUCACGUGUUGACAUUUGCUUGUAUUUGGGGUUGAGUAUUUAUUAUUAUUUCUAUGUCUAUUUUGUUGUUAUUUUGGUGGAGAAUUUUAGUCCUGAUUGAGCUGAAAAGGAGAAUAAGAUAUUUCUGCAAUGAAGCUUCGUUUUCUUAUAUAUUUUAAAAUUGGAAUCUCUUGGCGAGGUUUAUAACAUGCCUUUUUCCAAUUUAAUACAAAAACAUAUAAAAUUGGCCUUUAUUUAUGCUAAUGUUAGAUCAUAAUUCUAACUAAUUAAUUAAUCAUUGGGAUAAAGAAAUAUAGGGACUAAUCUUGAGGGUAACCCUACAUAUAUUCAAAUUAAUUGUAAAAUACAGUUGCUGCUAUAUUAUUAAAAUUGUCAUGUAUUCUAACACUGAUCAACUUUCACUGUGUGUUCUUUUGUACUAACAAUCCCCAUUCAAUUUUGUUUGGCUUUAUUAAAUUAAUGUUAAAACACUUUCUGUGCUAUUAUCAGGAAAAAAGUUAUGAUUACAAGUGCCAGUCAUAAUAACAUCCAGUUUUUAAUCAUAUGCAUCUAGGUUGGUAGCUCUGUAUUCUUUCUUCUUGUUUGUUUCAGGUAAAUGACAUGAAUAUUGGGAGCAGGAAAAUAUAAGAGAAGAGAUGCCAGCUUGUCGGCAGUUAUUCAACAUUUUUCACCCCUAUGAUCCAGUAGCAUACAGGGUUCCAAUUCAGCAGAAUGAAUUGUGAGCAUGGAGCCUUGCAAAGGCACUAUGCUGUACUGCAGGCAUUAGCAUUGGAAGAGGAUGAUGUUCACAAACGAAAGAUGAAACAUUACCUGACGAGGAAGGCUUGGCCAGAUAUUUUGCAAAAUUUAUGAGUAAAAGUGAAGUUAUUUUAAAGCAAGGCAACUAAUGCAGCAAAGUUUGUCUCAUGGAGCAUCUAGUCCGAAAUUGUCCAAAAUGCUAGAAGUAUUGCUGGAGCAUUUCAGUAAAUGACAAGAAUAUUGGGAGCAGGAAAAUAUAAGAGAAGAGAUGCCAGCUUGUCAGCAGUUAUUCAAUAUUUUUCACCCCUAUGAUCCAGUAGCAUACAGUGCUAUCCUUCUACAUAAUGAAAAUUCUAGGUUUCACAUUGAUGCUUGUCUCGAUCCUUUAAGUCCAACUGGUCAGCAUUCUAAGGGUUUUGUGGAAAUACAUUCAACCCAGCAUGAGGAUUGUUCUGAAUCCAUUGGUGGUACACUUUUUCUAUUUGAUAGAAAGGCUUUGAGGUACUUUAGAAAGUAUGGAUAUAAUUGGAGAAAGAAAAAGGAUGGAAAGACUGUGAAAGAAGCUCAUCAAAAGUUGAAGUUAAUUUCUCUCAAGCCAUAGUGGUGUCUAGUGCAAAGUGGCCCCUGCCCACUAUGAGUUGCUCUAGCAGGAUGAUUUGGUACAAUGGCAGUUGCAGACCUAAUAGCAGGCUGAACAGUGGCCUUAUCAGGCUCUAUAAUGUCACUGUUGAUUCCAGAGAGACUGAAACACCUCAUAUCCUGGGACCUGGGGUUAUGAAGUAAAAAGAUUAUAUUCUUUGUUGACUAUCAAAGAAUCUGCAUCAGACAUUCCUAAAGAUGUCUACUGCAAAGUCAGUUUGGGAGUUGUUUUCUUUUAGGGUGCCAAUUCAGCAGAAUGAAUUAUGAGCAUGAAGUUAUAGGUAUCCCUGGAUCCUGAACUACUUUCACCCAAUGGUUUUUAACAUACUGACAAAAAAAUCGCAGGCCUGCAAUGCUCAUUGACUCGGACUUUAUUGUGUACCUUUAUACGAUACCUUGGGUAUGUCACCCCUUCGUUAACUUGUUUCUACACCAUGUUCAUGCUUAUACUGAAAUGCAAUUAAAAUUUACUUUUGUCAUCUAUUAUUGUACAAAGAGUUGCUGCUAUCAAGGAACAUUUAUCUCAAAAGCUUUGAUUUUGUGAGAAAAGUUGCAACAUUUGUGGCCAUGUAACAUUUUUUUCUACUUAAUCCUUAUUCAUAUCCCUGACCCUAAUCAUAAUCCUUACCCUAACCCUAAUCAUAACUCUUCUCCUAAUCAUAGCUUUAUAUAUAAGCAUAACCCUACUACUAACCCUAACUCUAACUCUAUAACUAUCGACCUUAUCCUCACUGUGACAUCCCAAUUAUAUUAUAAAGAUAUAUAAUAUAAUAAAGGCGUCAUCAUGAAUAAUACUAGAAAGCAGUUAAGAGUCAUCCUUAAACAGUACAAUUUGAAAACUUGGAGUACUAGAGUUUCUCCCUUAAAAUACAAAGAAUUUAAAACUUAAAACAUGACAAAGUUUCUUCAAAAUAUCCUAGGAUAACAUAAUUAAAGCCUAGAGAACUAGGCAGUAGCAUUUCCUUCCCCGUCAAGAGCUGUUUCCAAAGUAUCUCCUUGCCAUCUGCUCCCAUCCAAGUGGAUGAUCAUCGCAAAGGAAACAAACGCAAACAUGGCACAAACACAAGCAAUUGCAAGGGUGAACUAAUUAUAUAAAAACCAUGCAAUUAAGAGCAUGUACAUACAAGAUAUUAAUUUAAAAAGCAAACAAGAUAAAACAUUCAUCCUAUCAUGUUAAAUACUAGACUUGACUCGUCUGGACUUUAAAAUGAUAGUUGAACUAUGGCGGGUCAUGCACCCGUAGUGGCUUGUGAUACUUAGGUUCCACUGCCUUGGGCUCCCCUGCCCUGUCACACUCACGAGGUUAGUCUGUUCCGUGCCCUGGAUAAUUUGAGUAAUUAGGGUUUAGGGUUUAUUUUGAGUUCUAAUAGGGGUUUGUAUGUUAAAAAUUUCACAAGGCAUGGAUAUAAGCUGCAGCAUUCUUUGAGUUCAGCCUAAAGGUAUAAAGACCAUGACUAGUCAGAGGAGUUAUUUAAUGUAAAUGUCAGAAGGUCAAAUCUUUACCAUUAGAUCAUAAGUGAAUAGUAUGGACUAGAAGGUCAAAUCUUUACCAUUAGAUCAUAAGUGAAUAGUAUGGACUAGAAAGUAAAAACCAUGCAUAUUUUUUUAAAUGACAUGUGACUUUUAAGAUUGACAAACAUGAAACAACAAUGUAUUGGUUUUUUAUUUGGUGACAUUUGGUUGGCGUUUCUGCAAAAGAUUGUUUUUCUGUUUGUUCUGUGCCCAUGAAGUAAACUGAAUUCAACAUAGUAAUAAUUUAUGCUUCUCCUUUUGAAUUAUUUUUCUCUUAUUUUGGUGUGAUUGUAUAUGAUAAACUUCUCCAUGCACAUUUAUAUUUUUUAUUACAAUAGUCUUUUGAUAUGUUUCUUCAUUUUUAUUUUUCACUACCCUCAUUUUGUUGUGCCUAAAUUAUGCCUGAAGUUGCUGCAGACAAAGACAUAGUCAUUUAGUCCUAUAUAUUUAAAAAAAAAUAAAUUAUUCUUUUUCAAAUUCAAACAAAAUUUAAUUUGUGUAUAAAUUUUUUAUAAAAUUUUUUAUACAAAUUUAUAUUUUUUUAUUAGAAAAAUAAAAAAAUUGCGAAUUAGUGUCACAUAGGACUAACGAAAUUAAAAAUCAAGAAACUCAUUUAAAUUUUUUUUAUGCAAUUAAAUAGUAAAUGAAAUCAUUUAAUCUAAAUAAUGAAUACAUAAAUUAUAAAAAUUAACAUUUUAUUAAUAAAUAUUUUUUUGAACGUAAACUAUAAAAGUAGUAUGCGAAAAUAUCUUAUCAGAGGAUAUGCGGCUUGUGCAUUUUGAUUUCAAUAUGCAUUUUGAUUUCAAUAGGUAGGAAGGCUUUUAAUUUCAUAACAUUUCAAUAUGCGGCUUGUGUAGCUAGUUUCUUUUACUGUUUUAAGAUCUUUCAGUUUUAUUUUGCUUUUAUAAAAUUGUAGUGAUGUUAAGUACAAUAUCUUUGCUGUUUUAAGAGGAGUUGUUUUAGUUUCUAUCCUGUUUUUAGUAUUUUGUUUCAUAUUUGAUAUUGAGAUUCUUAGUUAUUUGUUGUUUUUUAGAUAGUGAGUUUCUAUCCUCUUUUCUUAACUUUCUUUUAUAGUUUCAAACUUGUUUAGGUUGAUACAUUGAUGUCUUAGUUGAGUUUUACAGAUUAUGCAUGAUUACUUGUCUAGUAUUUUUAGUUCUUGAUUGUGAAUGAUUUUUUGAGUUCUUAAUUUGAGUUGAUAGUUUUUAGCUAGAUUUUACAAUUUUUUUCAAUAGAAUUGAAUAGUUUUUACAUGAAAUGUGAGUUUUAAACUAGUUUUGACAAGAUUUUAUUCUUUGUGAGAUUUGAGCCUUGCCUUACUUUCUUUCAUUGUGUAAUGCAUUCCUGUUAAUUUACAUUUCGGAACUUGUGUUGUUUAAGUUAUGCAUUCACGAAUGAUUUAUGCAUUCGUUUUUCAUAACACCUCUCUUUGAUUUUAACCUUGAUUUUUCUCUCUUUUUACCUCACUUAUACCGUGGCCACAUUACAAGCUUUGAUUGAAGUCCUAUUGAUCUUGAGUGUAUUUUUAAUUCGAUUGGUGUGAUUAGAAGUUUUUUAAGUUUAUGAUAAUGUGUUGAGAGUUAAACACCUAGAUGUUGAAAUCUGACAUUAUUCUUAUAUUGACAUAAUAUAGAAAGAGACUGAAACACCUGAACUGGAAAGAGGUGCUGUUGGGGCCAUUCAAGAUUUGUAUGAUGUAUGCAAUUUGAUGUCCUCUCUAUGAAUGAGAUUUGUCACAGUUGUUGUCUGCAUACUUUGAUUUUUAAAUAUUCUUGCUUGCAUGCAUUAGGGACAAUUAAUGUUGAUUUUUCUUUUCCUUUCUUUUUAUCUAAGGGAGAAAUUAUGAGACUUGUAGUUUACUGGCAAAGGCUAUGGAUGAAGGGCUAUAUUGUUUGAGAAAAAGGCUCCAAAAAUACAAAUUUAGUAUGCUCCAAUCAUAUUUUUCUA